rnacentral:sRNA from 1 species
GAUUGGGGUGGAACAGCUGUUCGUUUGAAAACGGCAUCUGGACACCGGCGUUUCAGGUUUCUGGCGUCUGGUGCGUCUGUGCCGUGUGGAAUGGGGCCUGCUCCACCUCUGCCUGUACCUGUGCUGCCGCCUUCCUGCUGUUCUCGCGCCAGGAGCAAACAAAAACCUUUGUUUCCAUGCACAUCACGCAGGUGGACAACAUUGCCGCCUAGGGGGGAUUUUUGUACUGUCUUGACGACAAGACCGGACUGGAGACGAUCACUGUCAACGGAGAGCGUCGUUCCGUGGAGCUGCAACGCCUGCCGCAGUUCACCAACAUCAGUGCCGUGUGGACACCGGAUGCGAAAGUGCUGCGCAAUCACAUGGCACAGUCGCCCAAAUUGUUUCCACAUCUGCAUAGCCAGCGGGGUGUGACACGCAGUACUCACGACGUCUGCUCGUGCCCCAAGCAUCUGAUGCUACUGGAGGACAAGGAGAACUACGGCGUCUAUCCGGCCAGAUAAUUUUAACUGGCGGGAGUAGUGACAUGAACAACGACUGUAUAUCCGCCUGAUGGCGCUGUGACGAAAGGACUGCCGGCGUAUCGGUUCAGCUGAUAGUCAGGCGAGGGCUCUGGUCUGCGUUUGUACCACCUGUGACAACUGAGACAAUGGCAACGAUGAGGUCGACUGUUGCAAGCGGCCAGCAGACUUUCAGUGUCCCGUCAACAAGCUUUGCAUCGGCCGCCCUGCUCUGCGGUGGCCCUGCCUCGGAUAUUUUCGCGCACCGAACCAAAAAUCGAGCUUUAAUGAGUAAUAGAUAAAUGCAAUAGAGAACCUGCCGGAUAUUGCAUCUGAGGUGCAACGCGACCAAGCUGCGGCUGAAGAUGGAGCAAAAGACUAUGGAUGAGUAUGCCAGGCUACCACUACCACAAUGCCUUCUACAAGGACCCAAGGUCCGAAGGCGACACCAGUUUAAGGUACGCGCUUGUCCCCAACGAACGAAGGACAAGUUGCUCAGUAUGCCAAAAGCGGAAGAGAAUGAUUCGCCCGAAGAGUUUCAGCAUGAAUAGGCAAAAAUGGGAAAGUUCUUUUUUCCGGUUACAUUCUACGCCUUUGCAAAGUACACGGACAAGGAAACGAAACCCAAACAAAUAAGCACGGAAGAAGUCAAGCCCGAUGGCAACACUGAAACGACUUCUACAUGGAAAAGCGAAAGUCCACCAAUAUAUUCCCUGAGGCAACUCCUGGCUAUCCUCUUCAUGAAAAAACAGUCAAGUUUUUAGCGGAGUAUAGUCCGGGCAAACAGUCCAUUAAUAUGAAAUAAGAAAAACGUAUUUAAGGAUAUA